UGGUUCAGUGGUAGAAUUCUCGCCUGC
rnacentral:piRNA from 7 species